ACAAAAACGAUUCAUAGGCUCUAAAGUCACAAGGUAUAAAAUCUGCACUUUUAUAUUGCAGUUAUAUUGGUGGAAUACUAACAAUUUCACUUUUGAAAAACACGAACUUGUGCGCGGUGAAGUUGAUCCUCUCUCUCUUAUAUAACACAGGAAGUAAAGUAUAAGUAUGCAAGACCGAGAUUGACAUGAUUUAAUUCGCUCUUUACUCUUAAACCAUCAUAUUUACAGAGUACCAGUGCGUCAACUAUGUUUGUGAAAACAAAAACAUCAUGAUUGAUAUUUUUGUUAUGGUCCAAAAACUAAGAAUCUCAAAAACCCCACUAUGCACGAAAGAUCAAAUUAUAACAGGGAAAUGUGAGGAGUCACAAUAAAAAUUCAAAAGAACCAGAACACAAACCUGUUUCGCUUGACAUAUACAUGAACCCUUUUUUUCUUUUAACAGAGUAACUUCGCCCUAAAUAUAAUUUAGCAAGACAAUUAAAAAUGACAUUCAUCCAAUUUAAAGCAUUAAAACUAACAAUUAAAGCUUCAAAUGUAGCACUGAUCCCAACAUAUAAAACAUAAUACCUAACAUCCAGCAAUAAAGCAAAUAUGGUCAAUCGGAUCCUCCUCGCCUCCCCGCUCCCUCCUCCUCUUCCUCCUCCAACGGAUCAACAUGCCCUUCUAUAUAUUGGAGCAUACGUGUGACGACAGCCUCCUCCUCUUAAGACGACAAAAAUUUUUUUUUCGGGAUUAAUUCUUCUCUAAAUUCAGGACAUUGGUUCCUCAUCUCUUUCCCAGAUUCAGAAUGGUUCCUUUAGCUCUCCAUGCAUGAUAGCGAUCCAUCUGGUUUUUCUUCCUCCAAUUUUUCUCUUCCUUUUGCCCCUCAGAUCGGGGGGUCGGGACAAGAAAGCUCUUAUCAAUGGGCCCUCUCAGGCUCAAUCCAAAUGAAUCUAAAUGGAUAUGGACUCCGCUUCUUUUAAAUAACUCUGUCAGAAAUUCCGUAAACGUACGGAACCCCUCUUGUCUGAAGCCUUAUAUGUGGCGAACAAAGAUAAAAACAUGGAUACGGGUAAGUCACUGGUCUCCCAGUCCAUUGCCCACAACAACCUAGCCCGAGCGACAUUCAUGGAUACUGUAACGUUUUAGAGGAAAGCAGGGAAUGACAGGAAACAUAACAGAAUCAAAUACUUUCCUGAGGCGUCUCUUAUUACACUGCCCUCACCGUCCUAUUCAUCCCCCUCGAAAAGCAAUUCUUGUGAGACUACCGCUAAUAAAAUCAAGGCAAUCCCGACAGUAGGAAAUCAAACUUGGGGUUUUUCUCUCGAAGGAAUCUCAAAAAUUUAUCAAAAAAUUGUCGGGGCACUUUUAAUUUCUUUCCCCUUCUUUCCCCCCUCCCCGCUCCGAACUUACUAACCAAUUUCUUCUUUCCCCUCUUUUCAUCCUCCGUUCAGUUUGAUGGUUUUUGCCAUGAACACGUGGCAACAAUGUUUAGCACCGAUUAUUCCGCCUUAAAUUUUGUCAGAUUUAUCCACCCUUAAUGGUAAGUUUUGGACAAAAACUAAUGCCAAUAUUUCAAAAGCAACUAAUUGAGCUUCCUCUCAGUACUCUUGCCCCAUUGCGAAUUCCAUAACCUUAUUGAACAAGUUUUUCCGUAUUUUUUUUUUCCCGUGACACGAGAAGCAUCAUAAUCCAUCCCUCCCUGCCCUUUCCUUGGACUUUGACCUUUUAUUUGAAAUCCCGUGUUCCAUAUUCCCCCAAAUUUCAUACUACCCACCCCCUGCAUACCACCAAUCGAAAUACAAACACAGUCCCACAUUAUGCAACUAUGCAUGCAACGAUAUUCCUACAAGUGGGUGUUUUAACCCAAGAGUCUGCACUUGAAACUCCGAAAUGCACCAGAUGUUUAUGUUCCCAUGUAAAACUAAGGUUCUACCAAAAUUUUCAGUUUACUCAAAGUCUCCAAUCUUUAAUGACCGACACCAGACGAUACAACUCCAUUCCCUUCCGCACACAUCAAUUGAUUCAUUUUUUUUUAUUGGACAAUUCGUCAAACAUGUAAGUGGCAUAUGUAGGUAUAAAUUCCCAUGCACAAUUUCUUGACCCAAUGCUCCCAAUCUCAAUAAUAGCGUGGACGAUGAGAUUGAAACAAAAUGCCCUCACAAAUUAAGUAAUUCUUUCAUUGGGCAAUUCAUCGCACACUUGGAGUGCACACACUAGUCCUAUGUUAUCAAUUACACCUUUACCAUGAGAUCCGUCUUCUUUGUGUUUAACAACCUAAAACAAGUCACAACCGAAUGGGAGGAAAAUGUCAUGAUUGUGUGUGUAUAGGUUUUGAUUUAGACACCUACAUGUGAAACUUAAACUUUUUUUUUUUGACAACCUAGUUUUUGAUUUAUACACCUACAUGUGAAACUUAAAACUUAAAACUUUUCUAUAAUGAUGAAAUCCCUCAAAUCUAAACACUUCCAAGUAGAAUUAGGAAUUUACCUUGAUUUAUCCACCUAAAUGAUGAAAGUUUGGACACUUGGCUUCCGUCCCACCUUCAAAAUCGCCCAAGUUUUCUCUCUUUCUCUUUCUCUCGGAUGGUGCACUGUGUAAGAAAGUGAUUGAAAAAUGCGACUUUUCAGGUUAAAAAACUGCCCUGGGUCGCCAUUCGAACGCUCAUAAGAGGAGUUUCGAAAGCUAAAGUGCAUUGUUCAGCAGGGAGGGUGAGGGUGGUAAGAGGUGCCUCAGAACGCUUUUUAAUAUACUUGUCAGAAGAGUUCGAACGCUGAGUACAUUUUUUUUUGAUAAUUAAAUAUCAUAAAAAUCACAAUAAAAACUCCUAAAAAUAAAAACGAUGUGAAGUACCCCCCCACAAACAUAAGAGACGAGCUUAUCCGAAAUGCGAAAAGAAAACCAAAUUAAAAAUCGACGUUACAUAAAUUAACUUAAUCCUAACGCCUAUGUACAACAAACCGACAAGACAUCUUUGCAAGUAAUCGAACUGCGGUGGCUCGUUGUAGAUCACCACACUCAACCUCUCUUGUCUUCAGCUAAAUAAAGGCUUCAAACGAUACCCAUUGACUUAAACACACUUCUAUUUCUCGGGAUUCCGUUAUUUCAAUCGCCAAUUGAGAUGAAAUGACAUGCACCACAAAAGGUCUGGACCAUGACUUAGAAGUUUUCUAGGAAAUUAAAUGCAAACGGGAGUUGUACAAAAGCACCCUUUUGACCCACAUUGAAGAUUUGCGCAUAUCAAUUGGAUUCAUGACCACAAUUUCAUCUUGGCUUUUGAGAUUCUGGUUGUUUUAAUUGCCUAAUUCCGUAUCUCCUUAACUCAUUCAGUUGCAAUUGACUAAUGUCCCCGCCUUCUCAAGACCUCAUGUUAAUUGGCGAAUGGCAUAAUUACGCUUUGUGCUCAAUUUCAAAACGGGAGAGUGACACGCUUUUCCAUACACAAUUCCUAUACGGAGAGGACCUCCUAACAUGGUUUUGUAUGCAGUCCUAUACGCCCAUUAAUGCAUCCACUUAAUCGCAAAGACCAAUUCUUUGGGUGGGGGUGUUAACAGUUUUCUCAAGAAAAUUGUUUUGAUUCCUAUUGCCAACUCAACUUGCCCUUGGGUUGGAGGAUGGUAAGGUGUUCCAACCUAGAUCACUCCAUAUUGCGCAUGAGGAGUCCUAUGGGUCUAUAACAAAAAUAUGAGUCCCCAUCGCUAAUAAUAGGCUUCGGGAAGUUCAUGCCAAAUCUAGCAAAAAAUAUAUUCCUUCAAAAACUGACCACAACAGCAUGGUCAUUGUACGACUUGGUAUAGUUCUACCCACUUGGAUACGUAAUCUAUGGCCACUUAGAAUGUAUAGAUAUCCACACGAAUUAAUAGGAAAAGGACCCAUGAAAUCAAUACCCCAACAAUCAAAGACCUCAAGUAUAAUGAUAGGGGAAGAGGCAUUUCAUGUGCCGUUCGACAGACUUCCAACCGUUGACAGCUAUGGCGGAUGACGUGCAAAAGGCAUGAAAUAGCACAAACAUAGUGGGCAAUACAAACCACUUGUGCAAAAUUUUGGCCGCCGUUUUAUGUGAAGAAAAUGUCCCCCACAUGAUUGUGAAUGACCCAAAAUCUAAAAUGCUCUUCACCUCAUCAUUAGGAAUGCAUCGACGUAUGACCUAAUCAGACAAUUACUUAAAACAAAUACGGAUCUUCCCAGAAAAAAUACCUAACAUGCCUACAAAAUUUUUUUGUUUUUUCCUUACUUCCAUUACCGUGACACAGUGUUUGUAAAGAAUUCUACGGUGGCAAGUAAUUGGCAAUGUACGCAAACCAUGGUAAUGAAGUAUUUGCAUGAGCUGUGAUUGAAACAGUUGUCAUCAGGGAAUACUAUUGAUCGGAAGGGUGUCGUGCUUCCCCAUUAGUAGGGAGCCUUGACAAUGGUCAGCUACUACAUUUUCGGAACCCUUUCUUACUCUGAUUCAAUAGUUAAAUUCUUAUAGUAACAGGGAAUCCAACCUAAUGUGUGAAUUUCAGGGGUUUAGUCAAAGGUACUUUAGUGCGGAAUGAUCAGUCGUAUAUAUAAUAAACAAGUGAUCCAAAACAAGGCUGACUAAACUUAUCGAAGGCAAAGACCACAAAAAGCAAUUCUUUUUCGGUUGGUGAUAGUUAUUGACAUUGGGGUUUCUUCUCUAUCCUUUGCCCCCAAACAGUUCCAUAAUCACUCGCACAACAUCAGCUCAAAGGUAGAGACCAAUCGUGCAUCGAAUAUAAUUGGUGCUGUGGUGAGAAGACCUUAAGUUUAUCAAAGGUUUUGACAUUAUGGGUCCACUCAAAAGGUACAUCCAAUGAAAGCAAGUGAAACAAAGGCUCGAGAUAGCACUACACCCCUAAAUGAAGGGACGAUAAAAUCGGCAUGCCCUAAAAAUGAUCAUAAUAUCUUUCACACCUUAGGGAUAGGUAGAUGUUGAUGAAUCAUUUCGAUUUUGCUUAUCUACCUAUAGCCCUGUUCCAGACACCCAAUAUGCCCAAGAACUAUUUACAUUGGUUGUUACCAUGAAGUGACCACUUCUCCCAAUUUAAAAACCAAGUGACUUUCUGCACUCUUCUUCAAAACAAACUUCAAUAUGCUCUAAAUAUGAUUCAAAUGUAUCCCUCGUCCAUGAAUACCUCAAGGAUCUUUUCAACCAUGUCACUAAAAAUUGGAAAUCAUGCACCUUUGAAAAGUGGGCCGGUGGCAUUGUAUAGCCGAAGGCUUCUCCUAUAGGCAUAAGUGCCAAAAGGGCAUGUGAAUGUGGUCUGAUUAUUGAUCCUUUAAAAGCCACCUCAAUCUGAUUGUACCCAGAGUAACCCAUCAAAAAAUAAUAUAUGCUCGGCCCGAACACGCUCUAAGACUUGAUCAAAAAGGGGAUGAGAAAUGGUCCUUCCCUAGUUGUAGCAUUCAACUUUUCGGUAAUCGAUGCACAUUCGAUAACCGGUUUGGGAACUCUAGUUGCACAGCUCAGUAGACUCAUUCUUCACCACGUUACCCCCGGACUUCUUAGGAACACUUUGGUUACGACUCACCCACCUAGAAUCAGAAAUUGGGAUAUUGAUACCCGCAUAAAAAGUUUCAGCACUCUCCUCUAACAGCCUUUUUUAAUUGGUUUUAAACGCCUUUGCCUUGCCGCACAGGUUAGAAUCCUCUUCCAAAUAAAUACGAUGAGUGCACACAUGAGUGCGACUAAUACCGUGAAGACGCUAUUGUACAGCGAAUGACUUUUAUGCCUCUAAAGUAUUUUCAACAGUGAUCCUCUGACCUUCAGUUCGGCUCUAGAGGAUUAGACAACGGGGGUAAGAAUCACCUUCUCCAAGAAAAACGCAUACUAAGUGUAAAUGGUAGAGGUUUUUCUGUCCGGAAUUGGUGGUUUUUCUUCAGAUGAAACAAGUUUAACUACACUUGGUGCAAUGAGGUUCAAAAGUUGGGAAUCUAAUGACCCACAUGCAAGGACAGCCUCAGCUCUUCACUGACAAUGGAUGGCAUCCCUAAAAACUUACACUUUCGAAUUCCAAUUGGUCAUGGGGCUCCACUCCAAACUAGAGCUCUAUCAAUCGAAUCUUCCAUGAAACUUACUAUCCACAUGCUCUGAAUGAUGGACUCAAGGACAUUUAUUUUAUCAAUUUGGUCUACUUCCCUCAUUGUUUAACUAAAGUGAAAAUGUUUGUCUCCAAACGUCGUUUAUUACCAAAUGAAAGCUUAAGUAAUCCAUGCCGUAAUGAAUAACGGCAUCGCAGAGAGUAGUGGCUAGGAAGGUCUAACUAAGAUGACAGGAAUAUGACGUUUUUUAAACUGACCACAAUGACAGGUGAAGUAUCCAAAAGACUAUGAAAGCUAUCGGGUAGUACACGUAUCGAAUUGAAUAAGAACAUCCUCGAUGAUCCCCUGGACCUUAACAGAACGAUAACCAACAAACGGUGUAACUCGCGUUGUUUUAUUCUCCUAACUCGGUCUUUGUAGACGGAAUACGGUAACAAAUUCACAUUAGAACCUAAAUCGAGAAGUGCUCGAUCAAUCUUACAACCCCCUAUUAUGCACGAAAAGUAGGCAACAGGGUGUUUCUUAUACUUCGGCACAGUCUUGCAUUAGAGAACGCACUCAACUAUCAUUCAUCCUUGCCAUCUAUUUACAUGCAAAUUUCAUUUGACAGUACACAAUUAUUAAAAAUUGGCACAUAAGAGGGAAUCUAUUUAUAGCAUCUCUAAACAUCGGAAUAUUGAUUGAACUGUUGAAGACAUCAUUCAUAAAUUUCUGGAAUUUUGAAGUUUGCUACUCACUUUGCCAAAUAUUUAUGGGAACGUGCAUGUUUUAAAUCAUCACAGUUAAUUUCAUUGGAACUUUUGUGAGCGGCUCAAAUCAUGCUCAUGUUCUGCCCUCUGCUUUCUUUCCUUUUCAUCCUCGAACUUUCGUCUCUCACUCUCACCACCUAACUCUUAGAUUUCUCACACCUUGAAUACCCUCUUUGGGGCAUGGUUUUAUCGAUUUCCUUACCACUUCUAAGGUCGGUGAGGCCUGUGGGACUUGGUUUUAUGUGUUUCCUAAAUGCAAAUUUGCAGGCUUAGGAUUUUGCUGAUGUGGGACUAGGAAUCGGCACUUGCAUUUGUUGUGAAAGUACGAGACUCUAAGUAUAGAAAUUCAUUUCACCAAUUGGCUAAAAUACUUGUGACUUUAGUAGCGCAAAUCAUUAUCCUAAUCCUCCGAUGUGGAGGAGGUGAUAUUGUAAUGUUGUGGUGCAGGGUGGUAGCGUUUGUGGCGCGAAUAUGUCCAUAGGUUGUGGCUUGUUUGUGGUGUGUAGUCGUGUAGGUAUGAAUGUGGUGCCUGUAUAGUUGUUAUUGGAUGGAAAAUUUUAGGAAUUUUGAGGAAAAAUUUUGCAUGUUCUGUUGCCCCUCUUGUCGCCACCCAAAGUUAGGAUGAUUUCUCCAACCAGGAUUAUACGUAUUCGGAGUAGGAUACCCCUAUUUUGAAAAUUGGCCUACCACAUAACUUGUCAACGGGCCUCUUACCCCCGCUACAUUG
rnacentral:lncRNA from 1 species